AUUUAGGAGUGACCUUGAAAGACAGUAGUGAGGAAGAAUCUUUCCUCUGGAUGGAGGUGGUGAUCAGUGCAAAUGAUGACCUACUUUUUAUGGAAAAAGAAGUGGCCUGAGGAAGAACACAUCACUCUGGAAACCAAAGGGUGGAAGCAGAAGCAGCCCCACUUCCCAAACUCCCAACGACUCACUGCAGAAUUUUGUCCUUCCUGUCCCUGUUCUUCUUGGUUCUGCAAGGUUGGAGGUCCUGGGUCCUACUCUUGCCAGGGGCCACAGAAAUGGUCCCAUUGGGAAUAAGCUAUGGAUGCCACCAGAGAAAUUUUGACUCUUUGUGUUCAGAGACCAGCAGGCAAGAGGAAGAGUCAACAUCUUGACAAGGUCAUUGACUCUGAUCGUCAAGACAAGACUUUUGGAAACACUUGGAGAGUUUCAAAAGCUCAUAGCAAGGUCUCGCCCCCCAACUAUCAAUCAUUGAGGAGCUUGGGUGGAGAGCUGCUCAUGAGUGUGUUAAAUGAUGAUUUUUUGGGUGCUGUAUCUGGCGAUGUCUUCUCUGAACUUUCUCAUGGUCAUGGUAUCAUCAUACAAUUAAAGAAACAGAGUGGGAAAAAUCCUUCACUUUCAGACCACUAGUAAAAAGUCACAGAGAUCUGAAAGGGAAUAUUGCCUGCAGAAAAUUGUGACCUGCUCUAUCCCACUUACACUAAAACAGUUCCAGCUCAGCAUGAUGGACACUCCACUCCAGGCAGCUGUGGCCAAGAAGAGGAGCCUUCUUCUCUCUCCUGCUCCUACUCAAGAGGCAGGCAGCUUAACAGAGAGAUCAGAGACAGCAGCUGAAUGAGAGCCUUGGUGAGAUGACUGUCACCACAUGGUGACUGUGGGUGACCCACUGCUGAUAUUUCUGAGGAGCAACAUCAUAGCCUUCCAAGUUCGGGGAAAAGACUUUACUAAAACAGUCAAGCUGAGUCACCAAACAAAUAAAUAAGCCAACAACUACAGCAACCUUGACAAGCCCCAGAAAAGGACAGUGGAAUGAGCAUUCAGAGUUGCUAAAUCAUAUCAUCCAAAAUGUCUAGUUUUCAACAAAACGUUAUGAGAAAUGAAAAAUAAAAAGUGUGAGCCAUCAAAGGGAAAAAAGCAGGCAACAGAAAUUGUGUGCAAGAAAAACCAAGACGUUAGAUUUAAAAAGUGUUCAACAAAGUGUUCAAAGUAGCUGUUAUGAAUAUCUUCAAAGAACCUAUGAAACUAUGCUUAAAGAAAUUAAAAAAAGAUAUGAUUGCAAUCUGUCAAGUAAAGAAUAUUACCGAAGAAAUAGAAAUUAUAAAAAAGAAUAAAAUACUGCUGAUAGGUGUGAGUUUUAAUUA
rnacentral:lncRNA from 1 species